ACACCAGUGACGGUUCUACCAUAUGGGCAGGGUGGAAAGCUGUCCGUGCCAACAUUUUUGUUAUUUACAUUUUAAUAUUGAAUAAUGUGUGUAAGUAAAAUUAUUACUAUUUCCGUCACUGGAAUAUCAAGCUACACUGAAUUGAAGAGGAUAGCUGGGAACAAGAAAGUGUGGAGUUGGCGCAUAUCCAACUGCCAAACAAACCAUAAGGUUGACAACUAGAGAAGAAGAAGUACAAUUUAAGAUUAUUAGCCGUAAAAAUGUAAAUAUAUUUUUAGGUUUUUUUUUGCAGUAUUUUAUCACUUCGAUAAUAGAUUCCAUUAUAGUUUACACCAUAUAUAUUCUAAAAUAAGCAAUUAUAUUUU